UAACGCCUGGGUAUUACGAGCAAUGCUUAAAACCCAAAGGACUUGACGGUGUCCCACCCACCUAGAGGAGCCUGUUCUAUAAUCGAUAACCCCCGCUUUACCUAACCAUUCUUUGCCUAAUCAGUCUGUAUACCUCCGUCGAAAGCUUACCAUAUGAACGCCCAUAGUAAGCCUAAUGGUUACUCACCAACACGUCAGGUCAAGGUGCAACCUAUAGAAUGGAAAGAAAUGGGCUACAAUUUCUAAAGUAGAAUAAACGAAAGACUGCCUGAAACCCCAGUCAUGAAGGAGGAUCUAGUAGUAAAAAGAGAAUAGAGAGCUCUUUUUAAUCCGGCACUGGGACGCGUACACACCGCCCGUCACCCUCUUCAAUAGUUCUUUAUCUCGAUUAUUAACAAAUUAACCACGCCUU
rnacentral:rRNA from 1 species